GACGAACGCUGGCGGCGUGCUUAACACAUGCAAGUCGAACGAAGAGCGAUGGAAGCUUGCUUCUAUCAAUCUUAGUGGCGAACGGGUGAGUAACGCGUAAUCAACCUGCCCUUCAGAGGGGGACAACAGUUGGAAACGACUGCUAAUACCGCAUACGAUCUAAUCUCGGCAUCGAGGAUAGAUGAAAGGUGGCCUCUACAUGUAAGCUAUCACUGAAGGAGGGGAUUGCGUCUGAUUAGCUAGUUGGAGGGGUAACGGCCCACCAAGGCGAUGAUCAGUAGCCGGUCUGAGAGGAUGAACGGCCACAUUGGGACUGAGACACGGCCCAGACUCCUACGGGAGGCAGCAGUGGGGAAUCUUCCGCAAUGGACGAAAGUCUGACGGAGCAACGCCGCGUGAGUGAUGACGGCCGUCGGGUUGUAAAGCUCUGUUAAUCGGGACGAAAGGCCUUCUUGCGAAUAGUGAGGAGGAUUGACGGUACCGGAAUAGAAAGCCACGGCUAACUACGUG
rnacentral:rRNA from 1 species